GGGGAAUCUUGCGCAAUGGGCGAAAGCCUGACGCAGCGACGCCGCGUGAGUGAUGAAGGCCUUCGGGUUGUAAAGCUCUGUGGGGCGAGAAGAAUGAGUGCAGCCUAAUACGCUGCAUGAUGACGGUAUCGCCUUAGCAAGCACCGGCUAACUCUGUGCCAGCAGCCGCGGUAAGACAGAGGGUGCAAACGUUGUUCGGAAUUACUGGGCGUAAAGCGAGUGUAGGCGGUCUGAAAAGUCGGGUGUGAAAGCCCCGGGCUCAACCCGGGAAGUGCACUCGAAACUGCCAGGCUAGAGUAUCGGAGAGGUUGGUGGAAUUCUCGGUGUAGAGGUGAAAUUCGUAGAUAUCGAGAGGAACACCGGUGGCGAAGGCGGCCAACUGGACGAAUACUGACGCUGAGACUCGAAAGCGUGGGGAGCAAAC
rnacentral:rRNA from 1 species